UGGGGAAUAUUGCACAAUGGGCGAAAGCCUGAUGCAGCAACGCCGCGUGAGCGAUGAAGGCCUUCGGGUCGUAAAGCUCUGUCCUCAAGGAAGAUAAUGACGGUACUUGAGGAGGAAGCCCGGCUAACUACGUGCC
rnacentral:rRNA from 1 species